rnacentral:lncRNA from 1 species
CCCGCGGCCUCGCCCCGCCCCCUUUAGCCUGGGCUUGAGCGCGCGCAGAAGUCAGCUUCGUGACUUCCUUCUCAGGAUGGAACCAGCUUGGUGGCUUGAGGGAAAGGGGUUCUGAGUUGCAAAUCAGAAACUUGAAGAUGAAAUGGCUACUACGCUGGGUAUUGCCUUUAUCUUGAAUGCCAGCCUGAUGGUCCAAGGUGAACAAGCCUUCCUGUGUUUUCUGAAUGGUGUCUGGGGUCUGUCAGGAUCAACAGGCCUUGAGAGAGACUGACCCAGAGGACUACUAAAAGGGACACCUGCCCAGGCCAGCCUAUUCUACCAUCCUCGUUCUCCUGCAAAACCAAGGCCACGUCAUUUCAGCAGAGGACCUGCGUGUGGAAGGACCCUGCAGCUGGCCCAUCACAGGAGAGGCCCAGACUCACCUCCCAAGGGGACCCUGGCACAUGAAGAUGCUGGUUCUCCUGGGAGUGCUGCCCUGGCCCACAGGAUAGAAGCGCAGGAUGGUCACCCAUGUCUGCUCUUAUUGAAUGUGUCUUAGAAGCGG